rnacentral:lncRNA from 1 species
UUUUGCUCACCUUUUAUUGAAAGAGCUCCUCCUUAGCUCUUUUCUUUGCAUGGGCUUAAGGCAACUAUUGAUACCAGCAUCCACCAUGGAGCAGACUUAUUGAGCUAACUUUCAUUAACUCAUUCAUUACAGAAGAUCGUUUGGCUGAUGUUUCUGCUCUCAAUGGCUUAUUUAUUUAAAUGAACACAAGUAGUUCUUAGAACUCAAAAAAAAACUGCUGAAAAGCCAACAGUUAACUUUUUCUUUCAUUAUUUUCAGGUCCUUCUGCCAUGUGCUCUAGUAAUUCCUAUUUUGUAUAUUGCAGGCUUUCAACUGUUUGGGUCAGGUAGGCGAGUAAGGUCUCAAAAUAUUCAGCAAUAGAUAUUUAUACUUCUAGUGAAUAUAAUUUUGGGUGGGCUUUUUUUCCUAUCAUCUCAGAACUAAGAGACAAGGCCCAAAGCUGACACAAACCAAAAACAUCAAAUUUUCUAAAGCAUCAGUGAUAACUAAGUCCAGCAGAAACAACCCUACCUUACUGUUAUAGGUUGUGUAUGUUCCCUCAAAGUCCAAAUGUGGAAGUCUUGAGUCCUAGAACCUCAGAUGUAACUGUGUUUGGAGACAUUCUUUAAAGAGGUAAUUAAAUUAAAAUGCAUUAUUAGGGUGAGCCCUAAUCCAAUAUGACUGGUAUCCUCACAAGAAGAGGAAAUCUGGACUAAGUAGUCAGCAAAGCAAAUAAUUGCUAGUCUGUAAAAUGGGCAAAAUAAAAUUCACCUCAUAGGGUUGUGGCCAGGAUUAAUGAGACAGUGUAUACAAAUUUCUUAGCACUGUAAAUUCUGGAAUACAGUCAGUACUUAAAGAGUAGUAAUUAUUUUCAGUGUUCGGGGCUGUGCACCACUUCUAGGUAGUCUUAGUGCCGAUAAUUCUAAAUGCUAUGAUUUAACACAUACAUUCUAAGGAUAAAAUUAAUCUUAAUUUAUUUUAAUUUUUAAAAUAAUCAUGUGUACUACACAACAGUUUUAGAGGGGAAAGAGGGUUAUUAAAAAGGCUUAGAGAUGUAAGAUAUAUGCCUUGAUUACAGAGCCAGGAGUGGUGCAGCCAGACUUUUGAGCCCCCAUGUCUCAAGGCCCCCAGCACAUGUUCCUACAUGUAGUGCCGUCCGAGCAUACAUCAGGGCUUUCUUGCAUCAUGAAAAGUGGGCAAUAGCACAAUUAAAAAAUGCCCCCAGCUCAUCUAGAGUCCCAUGUCUCUGCGUUUUUUAAUAUUUCUUCUCCCGCACAUUGUACUCAGAAGACACUUUCUCCUUUGAUGUCUCAGGAAGGCCCCGUGAAGAGCAGCUGACGGGAGCUGGCAGGCCCUCCCAGGAUGUCCUGAGCUCUUCACCAGAGGAGUGGUGGGCGUGAACAUCUUCCCUGCAUUGUUGUCCUUUUCAUCCAAGCUUUGUCUGCCGAGAAAGAGAGCAGCAUCUGUUCUCCGGGUGAGCAGAUGAUUAUACAAGACCUCAUGGUUUUACAUCAAAGAAGAGUGAAUUUUAAAACCUUUUGUGUGCGUGUGUGUGAUGGUGUUCAAGGUCCUGCAUUUUCAAAAAGCAAAGAGAGGGUCAUUUCCAAAUGUAAACACGUUGAAAGAGCAGUAGAAACAAUGGGAAUUUUUAAUAAGUGAAGGAAAAAAAAUAAAUGAUUCUCAUUGCCUUACAAAACACUACACCUGGGGUUUGGUUUUCUGUAUUAAAAUCCGGGGAGAAUAUUUCAUGAGCUAUGUGGGUUCCUCGUCCACACACACUAGUGAAAAUGGAGAUUUUUAUGGUUGGGAAAGCAAAGCAACUAUUUCUUUUACCUCCUAUAUGUAGUCACCUCUUGGCUUGGCAAUGGAUUGUUACUGCAUUCUAAAGAAAUGAGGGCCUAAAAUCUCUAAAUGGAAACUGAAUGAUUCAGUCCAUAAUGUGAGUUAGUAAACAUCCAACUUGUUAGAAACAUAACUACAGCAUCCUCAAUAGGUCCUCAAACACAGGGGUAACAGUUACUACAGGCAUUUAUUCUAUCUGCAAACUGUGUUCCACCAUCACUGCUGUAUCUUACACUGGCUGAGAAUUUUCUUCACAUACCUUUAUCAUCGGUAAGACUAGGCAGCACAGGAAGGCCAGAAAUGUAAAGAAAGGUUAUUGAUUCAGUUGUGUCAAAUUAGAAUUAGAGAAAAUAAGAUAUGUCACACAUUAAUACAUCCAAUGCUAGAAAGAAAUCUCUCAUUUUACCAAAGAUCACUAGGAAGGAUUAAAUUUGUAUAUGUUGGAUUGCCAUGAGACUUCAGACUAGUAUUUAAAGAAACCUGUAGUGGAACUGAGAAAAAUGACAGGCAUGCCCCUCAGGAAACACCAUGAAUCUGUGCCUUCUGUGAACUGAGCACAAAGGGCAGUGAGAGGAGAAGUGGAGAAGGAAGAGGCCGGACACAGACCCGGGAUUGAGAAGCGCUGGAAACCACUGCCCUUCUAGACCCGACCGAACAACGCCAGAGCUUGAUGCAGGGCUCUCUUCUAUUAAUCAGUCCUUUGUCCCUGGGGCCUGAGUGUCAGCUGGGAAGGAAGAGAUCACAAGGUUUCCAUUUGGUUUUAUUAAAUGUUCUCAUCCUGUGGAGAUGACCAGACUCUUGGUGUCCUGCCUGCAAUUGUUUUGGCUUUCUGAAUAGUCUCAGUGAUAAAGCUGAGGAAAAAUGUUGUCAGAAGAAUUGAAUCUGCUAGAGACGCUUUCCUUAUCCAUUCAUUUAAGAUUCUGUUGUCUCAUUUCCAAGUGUUUCAUGGAGUUCCUUAUAGGAUUUCCCAUUAUAAAUGAGCAGCCGCCUAAGUACUCAGGAUAGGGGAAAAAAAAAAAAACACUAAGCCUACAGGAAAUUUGCAAUUCACAAUUCCUGGGAGAAAUACAACACACUCACAUCUUCCUUUUGAUUCCCUUUCCAUUAUUUAUUUCCUUAUGUGUAGACCUGGAGUAGUGGUAAUGCUAUGUUAGGUGACACCAAGUUCGCCAAAGAUGAGGGAACUGGGAGAGUGUCAUAGGGCGCACACCUUUCUCUUCCUGGGCUCUUAGAUGGAAGUAAAAAGCAGAUCCCAGGCACGAAGGGUCUGCUAAAUGAAGGAAUGCAAGUUUCACACAGUUAUGAAGAAGAAACAAUAAUGCAAAUUUUCCUAUAUAAGCUCUGAAAUAUGCUCUCAAGCCUCAUAUUCUUCAGGACUCUCAGGGGACCUGACUUUUGUCUUUCUUGUGCUUGUAUGAAUAACUUGUCCCUUCUCUGUCAAGCAUCACACAACAUUUCUUUCCUGCAAAGAUAGUGCAUCUAUACUCCAUCCACUUUCCUUGGGAAUAUACUAGAAAGGACUGCCUUCCUGCUCCUCCCAUCCCUUUCUAUGUGAGCUCCAAAAUAUCAGGGCAAAUCUAUUUCAGCUUUAUUUGCAUCGUGUAGGGAGUCAGAAAGCUGACAGAAUCAGAUGUCUGAUUUUAAUAUGAAAUACAUCAUUACUUGCCAACUUAUAAUUCUCCUGCCGAUCCUUCUAAGUAAUCAAAUCAAUGAUGAGCCUAUACUGUACAUAAUCUAGUCUAUAAGCUACCAGGUCAGGUGGCAACAGUAGUAACUGGGGUGAGAAUUUAAGAUGUACACAAUUUGGGGGCAAAUAAGGACAUUUAAAAAUAUUAUCUUCAAGAGGAAAACCGUCUAAACUGUAUUCAAGGUAGGGGCAGGGUCUACUCAAGGCAGACAUCUAGGAAUGCAUAAGAGAAAGAAGAAACAAAUGCAGAUGGUUGCUAAAGGCUGUCAUCCCUCCCAGACUGGCAGUUUCCUGAAGGCAGAGAGCAUACCUGUCAGAGAUCCCCUGUACCUUUCUCAGUGCCUUGCACACAAUACAAAAUCCUCUUGUUAGUUAGUUUUCCACUGGCCUGAACUAAAUUAUCCUUGAAAGACAGUAAGAUUACAGUGGAAAGUGUAUGGAUUCAGAGUCAGAAAUUCCUGGAUUUGAAUGCUGCCUUGUCAGUUCUUAGCUAUACAAACCUCAAGUAAAUCUCUCACAACUUUAGUUAUAUUUUCUAAAAAAUGAAGAUAAUAACAUGUGACUAAUAGCCUGUGAAGAACACUGAGAAAACUUGUAAAAGUGUUUAGCAUAUAGCAGGUGAUCAAAAAGAAUUGUUUCCAUUGAUAAUUAUUAUUUAUUAAAUUACAUAUGUCUGGUAUUAUAUGUACUUUAAAUAUAUCCUAAUAAUGCCUUGAAAAACUUCUUGGUCCGGCAAACUAUUCUUCAACUGUACACAAAAGAGAGGAGUUUCAAAUGCUAUCAUGUUUUUUUUUCUCAUUCCAUGCAUUACUUAGCCAAAAAGUUUGCUUAUUGACUCUUAUUUUUAUAGCUAUAUAUUUAUAUUUUACUUGUUUUUCGUAUAUCUCAGGUAUAGCAAAAUACAUCUAUUCCAGAUACUAGAAUUGUUUCUCUCCCCUCAGAUAUGUGCAUGGAACUUAAACAGAAAACUUUUUGUGGUAGAACAGUCCUGAGCAUUGAGGAACUUCACAUCAGGCCCGACAGACAGAGAUUUAGUUACCAAAAUGUCAAAAGGCCCUUUUUCCAUGGAAGUCCCACUUACAAUUCCUGGACCCAGAGGAAGCAUUUGGUGUAGGGUACUUAAAGGAGCAGGGCACUCAGCUCCCAAAGAGCACUGAGGCUGCUCCAUUUCCCCCCAACUCUCCCCACCCCUGGCCAUUCCCUAUUCUACUCAGAGUGCAUUACUGUACCAUCUGCGGGACUCAGAAUGCUAGGAGAUAACAACCAUUCAGAGUGUUCACCAUGUGUCAUACCGUCCUACACACAUCAUUUAGAUCAGCUCAAUAAACCUCAGAACAGCCCUAUGAAAAUCUUCAUUUUAUGGAUGAAGAAAUGGAUGCACAGAUUGUUUAAAUGAUCUACCCAGGAUCGUGCAAUAAGCAUGUGGAGAAGUCAAGAUGUGAAACAAGUAGACUGCCUCUGAAGUCCAUGCUCUAAUUCCACUAAACUACCUCUCCAGGGUAUGAAUGACAAGUUAGUAGGGAUCAGAAAAUCUAGAAAAGUAGAGUUUUACCAAAUGUAUGCAUAUUUUACUGUAGUCUUUCAUGGAAGUAUUUUCUGUUGCCAAGAACUGAGAAAAACUGAUCAUUUUUAAAUGGUAAGGAGAGAGAGAUUUUAACAGCCAGCUCCAAAAAGUCACAACCCUAUAUAAAUCUUUUAAAUUUCUGAGUAUAUAUUCUAAAGGAAUAAUGGAUUAUACAAACAGAACUAUUUUUUAGAUGCUUUCUAUCUUGUUCCAUUGAUCUAUGUGUCUGUUUUUGUGCCAGUGCUAUACUCUUGAUUAUUGUAGUUUUGUAGUAUAAUCUGAAGGCAGGGACCAUGAUUCCUCUAGCUCCACUCUUCUUUCUCAAGGUUUUUUUGGAUACUUGGUGUCUUUUGUGUUUCCAUAUAAAUUUUAAAACAUUUUGUUCUAGUUCUGUGAAAAAUGUCAUUGGUAAUUUGAUAAGGAUUGCACUGAAUCUGUAGAUUGCAUUGGGUAGUAUGGUCAUUUUAACAAUAUUGAUUCUUCCAAUCCCAAGAACAUGGUAUAUCUUUCCAUCUGUUUGUCUCAUCUUCAAUUUCUUUUUUUUUCUUUGUUUGUUUUUUUGUUGUUGUUUUGUUUUUGUCUUUUUGCUGUUUCUUGGGCCGCUCCUGCAGCAUAUGGAGGUCCCAACAUGAAAUAUCAAUCAGCUGUUAUGAACUACCAAAUAAUUUGGUUAGAGAUACACAUAUCACAUUCAAAUGGAAUUUGAAAUCAAGCACCCUGUAUUUUAGAAAUCCAUUAACAGGAUCUUCAAAACUCAAUCCAAAAUGGAUCAAUAAGAAGAUUGAUGCAUUUGAGAGGAAAAGUUGUUUCAGUGGCACUUGACUAUUGAUUGUGUUAAAAUUGAAAGAAUUUGAGACAGGCAUGCUAUUUUGACAAAGGAUAAAUUGUGAUAAGAUAAACUGAUCAAAUUUUCUCUCAGACUGGCUAAGAAAGAAAUAAAAAUUAUCAGCUUUUUACUCAUUUCAGAAUGAAUACAUUACUGGUAAGAAUAAGUGACCUAAAACAAAAUUUACAAUAGCUAAAACCAAGCGUCAUCUUACUAAUGGCAAUGAUAACUACAGAAUUGAUCUUGGAAAAUCAGAUUUAGUAGAAAUAACCAACAUGAAACUGGCAUGGCUAACCAUUGAUGGAAGAGUUAAAACUUCCUGGUAAAACCUCGAUUAUGACAAUAUCUGACCAAGAAAUCUGGACUUUGUAAAAUAACCACAUUAAUGACAGAAGCCAUAAUCAUUAACAUUUUAAUGUAUGCCAGAAAUCUGAACAAUGUAUUACGUUGUUUUAAAAAUUAUACAAAAUACAAGUGAGCCAAUGAAAUUAAUUUCAGUAAAAUUAAAAUAGACUAAAAAUGAAAUGAGCUCUUCUGAGUAGAAUAGAGGUUGCUUCUUGAAAACUCUAAAAUUAGUUGGUGUUAGUUAUUAAAAAUUUAAAUUAACAAACAUGAAGUCACAAAUAUCCUCAGGAUCAAAACAUUCAGUAUCAAAUUGGCUUUGAUAUCUUGACUACACAUAUGGAAAACUGUUCUUCCUUUUUCCUGGAUAUUUACAAUAUCUAAGCUCAUAA